rnacentral:rRNA from 1 species
AUGCCAGGAUCACAAGCCGACGAGAUUGACUGGGAGAAUUUAUCGAACAAGGAGCUUCAUGAUAAGUUUCAGCAAAUGAUGACUGAACAGGUGCAAGAUGUGCUGAACAAUUUUGAAGAGGCCAUGGAGAAGAUCACUGGCCUUGAGAAGACGUUCGAAACAAAGCUCGAUAACAAGUUGAAUGAAUUGCUCGCGCGUCUUCCACCACCACCACCCGCUGCACCUAACGCACCUCUCCAACAACAACAACAACGACUACCUCCACGUCGCGAAGCAGACCUCCGCCGAGCAAGCCGUGUUCCUCUUGCGUUUGGCCAAACUGUUGGUGCUGCUGUUGAUACUUCUGUGGCUCCUGCUGCUGAUGCGGAGGAGGAUGAUUAUGUGGGAGAUUAUGAGGAUGAGGUUGAUCAAAAUCAACACUACAUGCAGCCACCUGUACCACCACCAGCAGGUCGACCUCAGGUAUAUAUUCGUAAUGGUAGGCCUGCACCACCACCUCAGGUACGAGAUGAUGUCCAUAUUCCUAAACUGAAAUUGAAUAUUCCACCAUUUGAGGGUAGAUAUGUUCCUGAUAUAUAUCUUACUUGGGAGUUAGACACUGAACAACGAUUUACAUGUUUACAAUAUCCUGAGGAGAGACGAGUUGCUGCUGCUGUUUGUGCUUUCACUAGUUUUGCAUGUGUAUGGUGGUCUGAACAUUGUAGAUUAUAUCCUAUUCCAACUACUUGGGCUGCUUUGAAAACUGCUAUGCGUACGCGUUGGGUUCCACCAUAUUAUCAACGUGAAUUGCUUAGAAAAUUGCAGCGUUUAAGACAAGGGAAAAAUUCUGUAGAAGAAUAUUAUCAGGAAUUACAAACUGGCAUGAUUAGAUGUGGUAUUGUUGAGGAGAAUGAAGCUAUGCUUGCACGUUUUCUGGGUGGAUUAAAUAUAGAGAUUCAGACCAUUCUAGACUAUAAGGAGUAUACUAAUAUCACUCGUUUAUUCCAUCUUGCUUGUAAAGCUGAACGUGAAGUGCAGGAUCGACAAGCAUUGGGGCGAACUAACUUUUCUGCAGGCCGACCUUCAUCAUGGACACCACGUGCAUCUUCUACUUCAACUGCACCAGCACCUCCAUCCGGUGCCACCUCCAGCCGUGAUACAAGAAAACAGGCACAACCACCAUUAUCUGCCAAGAGCGCACCUGCGGGGCCUGCACAGCGUUCUUCUUCUUCCAUGGCAUCAACAGGGCACACAAGUGAUAUUAUUUGUCGUCGUUGUAAGGGAGGAGGUCAUUAUGCGAGAGAAUGCAAAUCUCCGUGA